UCCGUUUUAUUUAGUAAGAAAGAAAAAGUAAAAUUUAGCGAAAUCGAAAACCAUCCGAAUAAACGGUGAGAUUUUACUAUUUAACCCUUCAAUUUUCGUCUACUUUAGUAUCCUCCGUUUCAAGCACCGGCGGUGUGAUUCCCAUUCCGUCGCAAUACUCGUUAACCGCACCGCUAACCUCCGGCGAAAACUCUCCACCAGACGAAAAAACCACGGCAGCGCAUUUCUCCGGCAUUCCAUGUAAAAUCACUUUACAACAAUCGUAACUCACCUCGAUCUCAUUACUCUUCAUCGCCGUGUCGAUUUGAUUCUGGCAUCCUUCCACCGCGUUUAUCGCGUCCCAACAAUCGGCUGAAUAAACCGCCUCCGCAAUUUUUCUAACAGCGAAAGCCGAUUGAAACGACGAUGAAAUUGCUAGGGCACAGAGGAAGAAUCCGAAAAAUCGAAAAGAUUUAGACAUUGUCAGAAAAUUGCAAGAUCCUACGGUGGACAAAAACCUCAAAUAGUGGCCGUUGGAUGAUGAUGUGUAUUGACACGUGGCGGUUGUAAGGAAGAUCAGGAAAAUAUAUUCUAUGUUAUAUUCGAUUUUAUUUUAUAAAAGAAUCUUCGAUAUACGAGAGAGAUGCCUGUCGUCGUUCGUUGCUAUAAUAGAAAAAGAUCUUCCUACCAUUUUAACACA